AGAGUUUGAUCAUGGCUCAGAAUCAACGCUGGCGGCGUGCCUCAGACAUGCAAGUCGAACGCGAAAGCUCCCUUCGGGGAGCAAGUAGAGUGGCGCACGGGUGAGUAACACGUAGGUAAUCUACCUUCGGAUGGGGAAUAACAACCGGAAACGGUUGCUAAUACCGCAUAAUGCAGCGGCACCUAAUGGUGACAGUUGUUAAAGCGGGGGAUCGCAAGACCUCGCGUCUGAAGAGGAGCCUGCGGCAGAUUAGCUAGUUGGUAAGGUAACGGCUUACCAAGGCGAUGAUCUGUAGCCGGCCUGAGAGGGCGGUCGGCCACACUGACACUGACAUACGGGUCAGACUCCUACGGGAGGCAGCAGUCGGGAAUUUUGGGCAAUGGGCGAAAGCCUGACCCAGCAACGCCGCGUGAAGGACGAAAUCCCUCGGGAUGUAAACUUCGCAAGAACGGGAAGAAUAAGUGAGGGUUAAUAUCCCUUACGAUGACGGUACUGUUUGUAAGCUCCGGCUAACUCCGUGCCAGCAGCCGCGGUAAUACGGGGGGAGCAAGCGUUGUUCGGAUUUACUGGGCGUAAAGGGCGCGUAGGCGGCCACCGCAAGUCGACUGUGAAAUCUCCGGGCUUAACCCGGAAAGGUCAGCCGAUACUGCGGGGCUAGAGUGCGGAAGGGGCAACUGGAAUUCUCGGUGUAGCGGUGAAAUGCGUAGAUAUCGAGAGGAACACCUGCGGCGAAAGCGGGUUGCUGGGCCGACACUGACGCUGAUGCGCGAAAGCUAGGGGAGCGAACGGGAUUAGAUACCCCGGUAGUCCUAGCCUUAAACGAUGAAUGCUUGGUGUCUGGGGUUUUAUAGUCCCCGGGUGCCGUCGCUAACGCUUUAAGCAUUCCGCCUGGGGAGUACGGUCGCAGACUGAAACUCAAGAAAUUGACGGGGACCCGCACAGGCGGUGGAGCAUGUGGUUUAAUUCGACGCAACGCGAAGAACCUUACCU
rnacentral:rRNA from 1 species